GCGGAGGUAGCUAAGCCUGGCCCACGGCGCCGGUCUUGAAAACCGGUGGGCGCAAGCCCCCGGGAGUUCGAAUCUCCCCCUCCGCG
rnacentral:tRNA from 1 species